ACACUUAUCACGCCUUUGCAUUUCAAUCAUUAAACAACAUAUUUUCCUUUUUUACCAGCCUACUAGUAUCCAUGGGGAUCCAUAGGGGGUCCCCGCUACCCGUGAACCAUUAACAUUUCAACCUGAUUCCAGGGCCGUCCCCAUAUCCCGUCUGGUAUGGACGCCUAAAUCAUGAACCUCAAUACCCCGUCCGGUAUGAGGGUGAAACGCUCCGUCCUCAUACUCCGUCUAGUAUGGGCGCCAAAACACAUAAGGUCUCCAUACCCCGUCCGGUAUGAGAGACCACGUUCCCGGUAGGAUUCCCUACGGACCUGGUCCGUCCACCAUCUCCCAGGAUAUCUAGUCAGGCUGUCCACAU
rnacentral:lncRNA from 1 species